CAGUGUACCCGCGGCAAGACGGAAAGACCCCGUGAACCUUUACUAUAGCUUGACACUGAACAUUGAGCCUUGAUGUGUAGGAUAGGUGGGAGGCUUGGAAGUGUGGACGCCAGUCUGCAUGGAGCCGACCUUGAAAUACCACCCUUUAAUGUUUGAUGUUCUAACGUUGACCCGUAAUCCGGGUUGCGGACAGUGUCUGGUGGGUAGUUUGACUGGGGCGGUCUCCUCCUAAAGAGUAACGGAGGAGCACGAAGGUUGGCUAAUCCUGGUCGGACAUCAGGAGGUUAGUGCAAUGGCAUAAGC
rnacentral:rRNA from 1 species